AUGGUGAGUUAUCUGAGCAUUUCUCACCCUUUCUCUGUUUUGUGUAGAUGUGCACCAGGGUAUUUUGGGAAUCCCCAGAAGUUUGGAGGUAGCUGCCAACCAUGCAAUUGUAAUGGCAAUGGCCAGUUGGGUACCUGUGACCCCCUAACUGGAGACUGCAUAAGCCAAGAACCCAAAGACAGCAUUCCUGCGGAAGAAUGUGAUGAUUGUGACAGCUGUGUGAUGACACUCCUGAAUGAUCUGGCCAGCAUGGGUGAAGAGCUCCUCCUGGUCAAGUCUCAAGUGCAGGACCUGAGUGCCAGCUCAGGCGCUUUGGAACAGAUUCGACACAUGGAAACCCAGGCCAAGGACCUGAGGGUAAAUUCCCCCUGGGAUAGAGGGAGAGUCGAAUGACAGCUGCUCAGUGAACACAGCUGUGCCUUGGUAUCCACAGGGGUCUGGUUCCAAGAACCCUCACGAAUACCAAAGCCUACUGAUGCUGAAGUCCCUUAUAGAUGGUGUGGUAUUUGCAUAUAAUCUGUUCACAUCCUUCUGCAUACUUUAAACCAU
rnacentral:lncRNA from 1 species